rnacentral:rRNA from 1 species
CCUACGGGUGGCAGCAGUGAGGAAUAUUGGUCAAUGGACGAGAGUCUGAACCAGCCAAGUAGCGUGAAGGAUGACUGCCCUAUGGGUUGUAAACUUCUUUUAUAUGGGUAUAAAAUGUUCCACGUGUGGGAUUUUGUAUGUACCAUAUGAAUAAGGAUCGGCUAACUCCGUGCCAGCAGCCGCGGUAAUACGGAGGAUCCGAGCGUUAGCCGGAUUUAUUGGGUUUAAAGGGAGCGUAGGUGGAUUGUUAAGUCAGUUGUGAAAGUUUGCGGCUCAACCGUAAAAUUGCAGUUGAAACUGGCAGUCUUGAGUACAGUAGAGGUGGGCGGAAUUCGUGGUGUAGCGGUGAAAUGCUUAGAUAUCACGAAGAACUCCGAUUGCGAAGGCAGUUCACUGGACUGCAACUGACACUGAGGCUCGAAAGUGUGGGUAUCAAACAGGAUUAGAUACCCGGGUAGUC